CAAGGAGAACUCAAGAAAGUCUGGUCACUUCAGUGAGUGUUGGUGUGUGAGGAGAAUCAAGUGAGAAGUGCUUUUAGAAACAUCCAUGCAGGUAUGAAGGAGCUCUAACAUGCCAGGCCCAUCAAUGAGAGAGACAACAUUUAGAUAGGAGUACUGGACAUUUGAAAAUUCUUACACCCUGUGAUGUGACAUGGAGAAGUGACCAACACAACUUUGCCAACUAUACUCCAUUCUUAGUAACUGCCGAUUAGGAAGGAUUUCUUUCUAAGUCUGUCACUAAUUCAACUGUUAUUCACAAGAGAAGUAGAGGCAAAUGAUAGCAGCUUGAUCGUUGAUUUUUGAUUUAGAUGAUCAAUGAUGUUCAGAAUAGUGUUUGUAUGUGUGAGCAUGGAUGUGUAUGUCGUGUGUGUGUCUGUGUAUGUGGUGUGUGUGUCUGUGUAUAUUGUGUGUGUGUGUGUGCAUGCGUGUGUGCAGGGUAGGUAUCACCACAUUCCCUGUGGUGGUGUGUCUCUUCUCUGGGAUUGGUUCUUCUAGAAUCUCCCACCUUUUAGAACCACUUUAAGAUAUUUAUUUAUUCUCUCCAACCAUCCUGGCAAUCUUUUUAUCCUUAAACAGGAAUAAAUUCCUACAGCUGAAUCUAUUCAGGAUUUCUGUGUGUAUGUGUGAAAAUUUAUAUGAUGCUCAAUCCUUUAAAAAUCUUUUAUUCAAGUAACUUUAAAAGUAAAACACAAGGUGUUUUAUCAUAAAAAGUGAGAGAUGUUAGUCCACUUAAUUUCUUGCUUGCUUUCUUUU
rnacentral:lncRNA from 10 species